GGGGUGUGGCUUGGUCACCACCAGUAACACUGAAGUAGGUUGUUACACCUCGCCACUACCGUGAGGGGGUGUGGCUUGGUC